CUUUCCUCUCAGCUCUGUGAGAGCUAACAUGGCGGAUACUGAUGACGUCAGCAGUGGAUGUGGCAGGGAGCCUCAGGUGGCACAGGACCCGGAGCAGGAGGCUCAGACAGCUGAGAGUACAGGUUUACAUUCCCACGGAGGUGGGAGGAAACUGGAGAAUCCAGAUGAAACCCACAUGUACAUGGAGAACAUGCGAAACUGCAUACAGACAGUAACCUGAGCUCAGGAUUAAACCACGCACCUGGAGCUGUGAGGCCCCAAUGUUACCUAGCAAAUUAAACAGGAAAGUGCUGAAGACUGGCACAUGGAUGCUGUCGGACAGAACGGUCAAAUAGGUCUCGGAAAACUGGAAGGCUGUGCCGUGUUGUUGAACUAGCUGCCACACACACUCCAGGAAGAGCAGGAAGACUGGGGACUGACACUGCAGAAAACAUAAAACUUUGUCCCAGACGUGUUUUGAUGGCUCCUUCAUGAUGCUGUUUGUUCAGGUGAUUACAUCGAUCGAGGAAAGCAUGGCAGCCAGCCACCCACUCUUUUUGCACCAGGCCCUGAAAACCUAUCAGUGUCCUGUAGUGAGGAUCCAGCAUGAUCUGAACCAGGCUGGAAAUAACGCAGCACAGGCACUCUACCACUUCCACUGCUUUCUGGAGACACUGUCUGCAAACAAAAUCAACAUGGGGAUUUCUCCAAUUGUUAUCUCAACAGCUGUAGAUGUACAGUUGGGUCUGUUUUAAGGCAGAAUAACCGAUACCUUAU